GACGGAGGGGGCAAGCGUUGUUCGGAAUUAUUGGGCGUAAAGGGCGCGUAGGCGGAUCGGCGUGUCUGGCGUGAAAUCUCCACUGCUCAACAGGGAGAGGUCGUCGGAAACUACCGAUCUGGAGUUCGGCAGAGGAUCAUGGAAUUCCGGGUGUAGCGGUGGAAUGCGUAGAUAUCCGGAAGAACACCGGUGGCGAAGGCGGUGAUCUGGGCCGAAACUGACGCUGAGGCGCGAAAGCGAGGGGAGCAAACGGGAUUAGAUACCCCGGUAGUCCUAGCCGUAAACGUUGGAUACUAGGUGUGAGGGGUAUCGACCCCCCUCGUGCCGAAGUUAACACAUUAAGUAUCCCGCCUGGGGAGUACGGCCGCAAGGUUGAA
rnacentral:rRNA from 1 species